AAAAAUUUUAUCUUCAACCCUUAUACGUUAAAUAAGUACGAACCUCGUUUUUUCAAAUGGGAACAUAUGUUUUAAAUUCCAUAAAUAUAAAGACAAAAAAUCUAAAAAAAUGUUAGCGUUUGAAUUUUUAAUUUUCAUCCAUUUGUUCGCUGUUUAUGACUUUGUAAAGAUUUGAAUUUUUGUCUAUAUUUCUUAAUAAUUUCAUUCGAUUCGACAAAGACAAGUAGUUUUAUUACGACGGUCAUCACAUCAAAUAUAAUAAUAAUUUGAUGUUAACGCAUUCCGUAUCAUAAUCAGAUAUAAUAAAUAACCAUACAUUAUUAGACGAAAGGUAGACUGUUACGGAUAACGGACUUUACACUUUAACCUAAUCUAGCUGGAGCUAGUCAUUAGCUGGUUAUCUCGGAUAACAAUCUAGUAUCUAAACUAUGUAUCAGUUACCACGGAAUAAUCGAGUGACCAGUACCCAUAAUAUAUUUUAUUAUUUGUACAAAAUCGCAUUAUAUUUAUUAUUUGUACAUAACCUCAUCGCUAACAAAUUUCGACUUCGAAGUUCACACGUUUACAUUAGUGAAAUGAGGAAUUGCAAACUUAAUUAAAAAAUGUUAGUAAAUUUACAUUUUACUUUAUAGUAAAUAUGAUAGCAUGCUUAUUGUAGUUAUGUCAUAACUCGUUAUUUUAUAAUUUUUUAAAUAUAUUAAUUGAUAAUAUUUGCUCUCGACUUUAUUUUGACGUUACAUUCUUGGACACACCAUUAAUUUAAUAGGUUGAAUGCUUUUUUCCGAAAAUCUUUUAUCAUUUAAAAAUCAAUGUUAUCAUGUCAGAAAUAUCUAUGGCGUUGAGAAUAGGCUAUACCAAUUACUAUGGAAAUGUCUUUUCAAUUGGACCCAAGACUGAAGACCUUACAAUUUUAUAUUAAGGUGUAAAUUAUAAAUAUAAAGCAUUAAUUUAAUAGGUUGAAUGCUUUUUUACUGAAAAUAUUUCAUCUUUUAAAAACCAAUGUUAUCAUGUAAAAUUGGAUUUGAGUAUGACAUAUCAAUUGCUAUGGAAAUGUCUUUCCAAUCGGACCCAAGACCUUACAUUUAUAUAUCAAGGUGUAAAUUAUAAGUAUAAAACAUUUAUUUCUAAUGUGACAUUUUUUCAUGUGAAUGUAUAAUAUCAACACUAAGCAAUUUGAAUGAAAAGUGUGUUGUGUUAACUUAAAAUAAUUAUUAAUGCAUGUAUUUGUGUAUGUGGGUUGAUAAUACUCAUAUACCUGUUUCAUUUAUUUUUAAAAAUAU